rnacentral:piRNA from 1 species
UGAGAGCUGUGUCUUAGGCCCUAGA